rnacentral:rRNA from 1 species
AUGCUUUGCGGUGACUUCAACCUCAUCCUGUGUGACGAGGACAAGAACAACAGCAACUUGAACCGGCGCAUGAUGGGUAGGUUCCGCCGCCUCGUCAACGACCUCGCGCUUAAGGAGGUCUACCUCAACGGGCGCCGCUUCACGUGGUCGAAUGAGCAGUCCCCUUCCACCAUGGUGCAUCUGGAUCGUGUGCUUUGCACCUCAGACUGGGAGGAUGCACACGGCGAGUGUCAUCUUCGCUGCCUCGCGUCCGUCGUUUCGGACCACUCCCCCUUGCUGCUGGACCGCUCUCCCAUGCCCGCGGCGCAUAGACGUUUUCACUUCGAGGACUUCUGGUUGAGGUUUGAUGGUUUCCACGACACUGGCAGCGGCUUGGGGCUCGGUUCAUGA